UUCGAGAAGCGGUCAUUCGCUGUUCAUAUUUAAUAUGAAUAGAGGAAAGUCCGGACAUCAAAGGGCAGGAUUCCCUGUGAAAAUGGGGGAAGCUUGCAUAAAUGUAAGCUUACGGCUAGUGCAACAGAAAAUAUACCGCCUUCCUUGGAAGGUAAGGGUGAAAUGGUGGGGUAAGAGCCUACCGUCGCAAAGGCAACUUUGUGAGCCUUGUAAACCCAAUCCGAUGCAAGACGAAAUAGGAAACCGAGCGGCCCGCUCUUUGGUUUCGGGUACGUCGCAUCCUCGCAAGAGGAAUUCCAUUAGGGAUAGAUAAAUGAAUGACGGUCUAAAGUAUAGACAACAGAAUCCGGCUUACGCCUUCUCGAAAUCU
rnacentral:RNase_P_RNA from 1 species